GCCAGAAUGGUGGAACAGGUAGACACAAGGGACUUAAAAUCCCUCGGCUGAAUAAGCUGUACGGGUUCAAGUCCCGUUUCUGGUA
rnacentral:tRNA from 1 species